rnacentral:rRNA from 1 species
AUUGAACGCUGGCGGCAGGCCUAACACAUGCAAGUCGAACGAGUGGCGGACGGGUGAGUAAUGUCUGGGAUACUGCCUGAUGGAGGGGGAUAACUACUGGAAACGGUAGCUAAUACCGCAUACCAUCGGAUGUGCCCAGAUGGGAUUAGCUAGUAGGUGGGGUAAAGGCUAACCUAGGCGACGAUCCCUAGCUGGUCUGAGAGGAUGAACAGCCACACUGGAACUGAGACACGGCCCAGACUCCUACGGGAGGCAGCAGUGGGGAAUAUUGCGCAAUGGGCGCAAGCCUGAUGCAGCCAUGCCGCGUGUAUGAAGAAGGCCUUCGGGUUGUAAAGUACUUUCAGCGGGGAGGCGUUACCGACAGAAGAAGCACCGGCUAACUCCGUGCCAGCCGCCGCGGUAAUUC